AUUGAACGCUGGCGGAAUGCUUUACACAUGCAAGUCGAACGGCAGCACGGGGGCAACCCUGGUGGCGAGUGGCGAACGGGUGAGUAAUACAUCGGAACGUGCCCAGUCGUGGGGGAUAACGUAGCGAAAGCUACGCUAAUACCGCAUACGAUCUACGGAUGAAAGCGGGGGAUCGCAAGACCUCGCGCGAUUGGAGCGGCCGAUGGCAGAGUAUGGGGUAGUUGGUGGGGUAAAGGCUCACCAAGCCGACGAUCUGUAGCGGGCCUGAGAGGACGAGCAGCGACACUGGUACUGAGCAGCGGACCAGACUCGUCCGGGAGGCAGCAGUGGGGAAUUUUAGACAAUGGGCGAAAGCCUGAUUCAGCCAGUCCGCGUGCAGGAUGAAGGCCCUCGGGUUGUAAACUGCUUUUGUGCGGAACGAAAAGGCUCUCGCUAAUACAGGGGGCUCAUGACGGUACCGUAAGAAUAAGCACCGGCUAACUACGUGCCAGCCGCCGCCGUAAAAC
rnacentral:rRNA from 1 species